GAGGAAUAUUGGUCAAUGGACGGAAGUCUGAACCAGCCAAGUAGCGUGCAGGAUGACGGCCCUAUGGGUUGUAAACUGCUUUUGUAUGGGGAUAAAGUUAGGGACGUGUCCCUAUUUGCAGGUACCAUACGAAUAAGGACCGGCUAAUUCCGUGCCAGCAGCCGCGGUAAUACGGAAGGUCCAGGCGUUAUCCGGAUUUAUUGGGUUUAAAGGGAGCGUAGGCUGGAGAUUAAGUGUGUUGUGAAAUGUAGACGCUCAACGUCUGAAUUGCAGCGCAUACUGGUUUCCUUGAGUACGCACAACGUUGGCGGAAUUCGUCGUGUAGCGGUGAAAUGCUUAGAUAUGACGAAGAACUCCGAUUGCGAAGGCAGCUGACAGGAGCGCAACUGACGCUUAAGCUCGAAGGUGCGGGUAUCAAACAGGAUUAGAUACCCUGGUAGUCCGCACAGUAAACGAUGGAUGCCCGCUGUUGGUACCUGGUAUCAGCGGCUAAGCGAAAGCAUUAAGCAUCCCACCUGGGGAGUACGCCGGCAACGGUG
rnacentral:rRNA from 1 species